rnacentral:tRNA from 1 species
CCUUCGAUAGCUCAGUUGGUAGAGCGGGGGACUGUAGAUUUAUAAUUGUGAUCCCUAGGUGGCUGGUUCGAAUCCGGCUCGAAGUA